GCCUUGAACAACUAUUCCCAGAUGAUGAGAAUGAUGGCAAUGAUGAUGAAGAAUUACCACGUGAACCCUCAUCGUCUAUUGUUACUAAAAAAUCCUCAACAAUCUAGGAAAAGAACUAAAGGAAGAAAAAAUCCACCCAAUGAAGACGAGAAAUUCUAUAGAAGCGAAAGG